GCGGACGUGGUGGAACUGGCAUACACGUACGGCUUAGGACCGUAUGCGAAAGCAUGAGAGUUCAACUCUCUCCGUCCGCACCA
rnacentral:tRNA from 1 species